GCUGGGCGUGGUGGCGCACACCCGUAAUCCCAGCUACUUGGGAGGCUGAGGCAGGAGAAUCGCUUGAACCUGGGAGGUGGAGGUUGCAGUGAGCCAAGAUGGCGCCACUGCACUCCAGCCUGGGCAACAGAGCGAGACUCCGUCUCAA
rnacentral:SRP_RNA from 1 species